rnacentral:rRNA from 1 species
GACGAACGCUGGCGGCGUGCUUAACACAUGCAAGUCGAACGGAAAGGCCCUGCUUUUGUGGGGUUCUCGAGUGGCGAACGGGUGAGUAACACGUGAGUAACCUGCCCUUUACUUUGGUAUAACUUCAGGCAACUGGGGCUAAUACCGGAUAGGAGCUCCUGCUGCAUGGUGGGGGUUGGAAAGUUUCGGCGGUUGGGGAUGGACUCGCGGCUUAUCAGCUUGUUGGUGGGGUAGUGGCUUACCAAGGCUUUGACGGGUAGCCGGCAUGAGAGGGUGACCGGCCACAUUGGGACUGAGAGACGGCCCAGACUCCUACGUGAGGCAGCAGUGGGGAAUAUUGCAGGAUGGGCAGAAGCCUGAUGCAGCAACGCCGCGUGCGGGAUGUCGGCCAUUGGCUUGUAAACCGCUUUCGCCUGUGACGUAGCUUGAGUGACGGUAAUGGGUAAAGAAGCACCGGCUAACUACGUG